rnacentral:misc_RNA from 1 species
AAGUCGUAACAAGGUUUCCGUAGGUGAACCUGCGGAAGGAUCAUUAACACAUUUUGAUUCAAACUAUUUGUUUUUUCUUUUGGAUGUAAGAUUUCUUGCAUCCAGAGGAGAAAGCAAUUAACCCCCUUUCUAUGAUGAAACAUACAAAACGGGAAAAUGGACAGUCAAGUUCUUAAAAAUUUGACUUUCCGUUUCAACCGUUUUUUCCCUAUAUCAUUUUUUCAAACCCCUUUUACAAUAUGUCAUAGACUGAAACAAAACCUUUUGCAUUCUAGAUCUCUAGAAUCUUAAAAAACUAAGAAAACAACUCUUAGCAACGGAUAUCUAGGUUCUC